UAGUCAAAGCUUUGAAGAAGCCAAAAUUUUUAAUGUUUUGACAAAAAAUUUCCUCCACCCUGUAUAUUUAUUCGCACAGGGUCAAUAUUUUUCCUGGUUAACACCAACUUAUGUGGGGAGAUACUACAUGAUAUAUAUGAAGCGUAGUCCUCGGAGGACGAAAGUUUGGAACUACUUAAUUUUAGGUAUGCGAAAAGUAGUUUGGUGCAGAAUUCACCAUGCUACAAAACCGUAUAUAACUACUGUCAAAUCAAAUGAAAUAGAGCACUGGGUGCUAUCACAAGGCUUACUAGGUAGUUGUUAAUAAGUGUGGAAAAUUUCAUUCAAAUUCGUCAAGCCCUUUUGAUUUUAUGACAUUCUAAACCCAACAAUUUCCGACUAGGUGCUGUACCACUUUUAAGUUGCCCACCCUUUAUUAUGCUAAAAUAAAAGCUAAUUCCCGAGGUAUGAAAUGCACAAAUUUGUGUAUAGACGACAAAAUUACAGGAGCUAAAUACAAUUAUACAACAUGCUUAACAUAAUAUUCUGACAAAGUUGUCGAUUGUACAAAUGUAAGUAAAAUUUUUAGACGGAUGAACUGCUUAUUUAUAUAUAGACAAGUUUUGAUAAGAAGUUGUAGAUAAGGAACGUAAGAGAAUAUCUAUUUUGGACAUGAAUACAAAUCUUGUCGGGUAAAUGUUGAACUUGUUCAUGAGACAAUAGUGAAUUAUCCGAUUCAGACAUCGUUAAUGUGAAAUACCAAAACCAGCCUGUUUUCUACAAGUGUGCACGCAAUUAUUAUAAAAGCUAGCUACUAUACAUGUCAAGCCAAAAUGGUGUAUUUGUCGGUGGUUUCUACAUGAUGCUUACCAGGUCUCGCACGUACACGAAAUGGUUAAUUUCAAAUGAAACUCCAAUAGAAUUAUUGCAAAAGCAACGUUCGAGUUAAAAAAGCAAAGACAUGUAGACUUAUACACUCUUAGAAACUGGGUAUUGAUCUCUGAAAAAUUUUAAUACCGUCGUGCUGGUACAAUCACGCAAUCACGAAUGGGUAUUAAAAUUUUGCGAAAAAUCAAUACCACGAGCUUGUACGUGGAGAGUAUUAACUUGUAAUACCGAGUUGGUAAAACAUCAAUACUGACUGGUACAGAUUUUAUACCACGUUCACCCAGUCUCAAAUCAGUCCGGUAUAGAUUUGUGCGCGAGAUUUGCAAUCACCUCACACUUGCAGUUGCAAAUCGUUCUCUUUUUAAAAAUAAGUGCUUCAAAAUUAUUUCGGCUAGGGAAUUAUUUGAGGGGAAGAAAUUGACUAUUCCGCUGGAAACUUUGACACGUUCUUAUUAAAGGGUAAGCUUAAAUUUAUUUUUUCUUUUCGUUUUAUCUUUUGCUACGUAUUAUAUUAAUCGGAAGGAUUUUUAAACCACCAAUUUCGUCAUAGUGUCUGCUUUGUAUUAAUUAAAUUGUUUUAUAUUUAGCGAGAUCAUCAACUUAGCCAAUUCCGAGUUCCGGUCGUGCAUAUAGGAUUCCGGAUAAUUUUAGUUGGAUAUUUCCUAUCGAAUUAGGAAACCAGUCAGCUCAACUCUUCCACAUUAUUGUUUGUGAGCCAGUUUCAUAAUUAAGUUAUUCCAUUAUAUUCCAUCCAGUUGAUUUCCAUUUUUUGUAAAUAUUUGUCAUUUAUAAUUGGCUGAUUUGUAAUUUUAUCAAAUAAAUAACGUUAAAAUCAAUA